AAGAAAGUAAGAGGAAAGAAAAGUGGGAGGAAAGAAAGAGAGAGGAAGGAGAGAGAACGGAAAGGGAGAUGAUUUCUUGGAUUGUUUGGUAUGAGUGAAUGUGGAAGGAAAAGUGAGAGGAAAGAAAACAAGUGUAAUGAAUAAUUACUAUUUUAUCCUUUACACAUACAUCUUUAUAAAUAAUUUAAAUAUCAUACUUUAAAUGAAUAUUUC
rnacentral:lncRNA from 1 species